CAGCUGACCACUUGGUGUAGACAACAGGAAGGGUUUCAAAGUAUAUUUGUUUUAAAGUUGAUGUUCACUGCUUUGGAAAAGCCAAAAUAUUAGCAGUUAAAUUUUAUCAAGAAAUGCUUCUAUCUCUCCUCUGAUUUUGUAGACCAUUGUACAUGGAACUUCCAUACUCAACCAUAGGUCAGCUAAAAACAGAAACUGAAACAUACAGCUGGACAAGAUGACAUAACUGAUUCAAAAACUACAAGAUAUGUAAGAAGUGACUCCUGCAUCAAAUCUAUAACAUCUCUGUGAGCUACAGCUUAUCCCUGAGAAAAACAACCACUAUUGAUUUGAAGAGAUCGGGUAAUUGAAGAGCUAUCAUAUUCCAAGUUUUUCCACUACAUGAAAGACCUGUCUCUACAGAUAUCUUCCUUAGGCAGAAGCAGUGCUUAUGUGACAGAUGUUCUGAACACAUCAUCAAAGAACAUGAAUGCACUUUCAAAUAAGAGCUUCCAUUGCAUGCUCAAGGAAAGAAAAAGAAAUAUAUAUAUAUAUAUAUAAUGUAUUUAUCUAAAUGAAUAAACAGCAAUAGCUGAUAAUUAUUUCAGAGGUGGAAAAGCACAUUGCAGCAGUUUAUCCACUGUAGGGUUUUGCAGGUUUCACUUGCUAAGUAUUCUGAGUGUCAUGUUAAGUAAAUGUGAGGGAAGCCACAGUGAGUCAGUCCACCACACAGGCACAAGCAGCUACCAACUACAGUCACUCACUGUUCUCCUCAAUGUUGUCCUCUCAGUGGGUUCCUAUGUGUAUCCCAGACCACAGCGCUGACAAUCUCACUGUGGCCAAAGCAGCUAAGAAGUCUGAGCAUUGGAAAUUAAGGGCCCAAGUAACACAGGCAGACAAAGUUUCUGUCCCAGCUGGCUGUGGCUCCUGGGGCUUCUCAUGGGGACUCUGAGCUGCUCUCUCCUGACACAAUAAGGGGACCCAGCCCUGGGUGCGGGCCCUGGCUUGGUCCACCAAGCCCAGCCACUGAGCAACACCCAGCCUUGCAGGCUGAUGACCUACUGGGGCUUCUCCUCCACACCAAGCCAGCAUUCAGUGUGCAGCCAGUGCAAACAUCCUCUUCAUCAGGAGUUCUCCUAAAAUUCCUCUUCCCUCCCACUUUCCUCAGGUGAGGAGUGGCUAAUAGACCCAGUGAGAUGGCAGCCACACUUUCAUUUGUUCCAUUUCUGCAGCACUGUCCAUUUACAAGUCCCUGUUGAACAGCUCCAGUGGCUGCUCCAGCCCUGAGGAAGGCAAUCUGAGAAACACUGAGGUCUUCUACGGGGUAAUUUCCCUAUUUGUCAAGCUCUCAUUACCUUCCUUCCAUAAAUCUUUCCAGUUUCCUUCCCACACAGAUGCGGCAAAUGCCUAAUGUAAGAUGUGGGGAGUGCUGCUCCCUGGUUCAGCCAUUAAUCCUCCAGGGAAGGAAAAACUUAUUGAAGUUUACUUCAUAUUCUUCCCCGUUACACUUGGAGAAAAGCAAAGAUUUGAUUACUAAAUAGAGCUCCACAGUCUACAGCCAUGUAAUUGCAUGUUAUGCCAGCAAAUUCUGUAACUAAACUCCUUCAUGUCUGCUCACAUGGCAGAAAAACCCUUAGCCAAGGAAUUAGUAUAGAAGAAGACAGAGAUCUGCUUUACCCUGACAUGUCCAGGUCUAAAUCACAACAUAGAGCUGUGAAGUCUUCAUUUAUACCAGGACUGAGAUGCUGUGGGAAAAUGGAGGAGCCGGAUCCGAAGACUGCAGGGAAGGCAGGAUUUGCCCACAGUGUUGUGAGCCAUAGCAGACAUUUGGGCUGAGCUUUAUUGCAGGGUUGAAGAUGUUGUGCUCCCUGCAUAAGCUCCUACAAGCUGCAGUGAAGGCACUGCAAUAUGCCUGUUCUUAUUAUUUCCUUUAUACUAUACAUCCCUUCCCAUUAGACACGAGAGGAUCCCAUUUUCAGUGUAGAAUGCAUGAGUGAGAACAAGGACAGAAAGAUAAGAGAACUGUGCAAAACCUCAUCCUUCUGUUUUUUUACUGCCCUUGUCAUCUAUCACAAGACUGACUGCUUCUCUUGUUUUUGUCUUUUUUUCUUUUUCCUCCAGCAUAUUUGUAAAUGUUAUUUACUUAUUGUCACUAACUCCUUUGGGCUGUCUACUUUAAUUUUUUAUCACAAAUUGUGACCGGCAGCAUUUUGUUGCUGCUACUUUCUUCAUUAAUUUGUAUCUUACUGUUUCAGCAACAAUAAACAGUCUUCAGCCCUGCCACAAUUUGUGUUCCAUUUUGGACUAAAAUCUCACAGGAAUAUUUACAGUACUCUGAUGCAAGCAGAGCUGAGAAGGACCUGUGGACUUUGUUUUAAUGGUCCUUUCUAAAUAGAGGAAAAAUUAUGACUGAAUAUCAUAUCAGCUCUUCCAUCUUUCUUUUACAUCACUGAGCAUCACCACCAACCAGAACAUUACUAAUUAUACUUGCCUUUUACUAGUAUUUAGAGUCUCCUAAAAAUAACAUUCUACCCUUAAAGCACUUCUGAGCCAAACUCUGAGUCUUGAGAUGCUCAGCAACCCUUUCUUGAGCCAAUUUUACAUACAGAACUUCUGCCAUCAAAAUUAUUAUUUUAGUCAUGCAAAUGGCCUUGACACGUUUCUCUAGAGUCAACAUGUCAGUGUUUUCUAUGCCAGUGAAUUUGCUAUUUUCUAUCAUCUGUGAAUACUGUAAUGGAAUUAGAGGCUUGAUUCUUUCCCUGUCUAUUUAAUACUCCAUUUUUGACAGUCAUCAUUCUAAAUUCUCUUAAUGUGGACCAUUACAAUAUCUCCAACCAGAAUGUAAACCUGAAUUUGAUUGCCUUUUUAUUAAAAAUUAUAGAAAUAAUCUUCUCUCUCCAUGCUUCAUUUUCUCCAUCUCACCAUAAUUAAAAUUUUAAAAACAAUUGUUUGUCCAAUCCUCAUGCAAUAAUGCUAAUAAAAGAAAUACAAAGUAUUUUUUUCCACAGCAAACACGUUCAUGUACGUAGAGUAGUUACUUAACUAUAUUAAGGGACAUUUAAUUAUGACUCUUACUAGGGAUGACGCAGAAGCAGUAUUCUAUGAAGGGAAGUUCUUCAGACACAUUUGGCUAGGGGGAACCCUGGAAGGCAUAUAAUAUUUCAGCACUUCUGAGUUUCCAUUCUUUUUCACUAGCAAGAAUUGAAACUACUGUCUCUACGGUACAAUACGUUACAUUAAAAUGUGAAACAGAUAUAACUGAGGGGAACAGGAGGAAGGAAGAAAGGCCAGAAACCUGUGAUAUUAACCAGGAUGAAUUAACUUGUUUUCAAAUGUGUUUAAUUCUUGUACAUUUAAGUUACUAUGUUUUAAAGCAUCUUCCAUAUUUGUAAAGUUAUUAGUUCGGGUGCAAGAGCUAAGAGACACAAAUAAGACUGA
ensembl:lncRNA